GCCCAUAUGCGAAGAUUGCACGCCGUAGGCGACGGCGGACGAGGAAGCCGGUGCGAGUCCGGCGCGGUCCCGCCACUGUGAUCGGCGAGCGGACCCCGAUGACGCCACUGCCCGCACGCGGGUGGGAAGGCCGGGGCGAGCGACGACCCGAGAGCCAGGAGACUCACGCAGUCGCCUCCUCAGUC
rnacentral:ncRNA from 2 species